AUUGAACGCUGGCGGCAGGCUUAACACAUGCAAGUCGAGCGGGGGAGGUUGCUUCGGUAACUGACCUAGCGGCGGACAGGUGAGUAAUGCUUAGGAAUCUGCCUAUUAGUGGGGGACAACAUCUCGAAAGGGAUGCUAAUACCGCAUACGUCCUACGGGAGAAAGCAGGGGACCUUCGGGCCUUGCGCUAAUAGAUGAGCCUAAGUCGGAUUAGCUAGUUGGUGGGGUAAAGGUCUACCAAGGCGACAAUCUGUAGCGGGUCUGAGAGGAUGAUCCGCCAGACUGGGACUGAGACACGGCCCGGACUCCUACGGGAGGCAGCAGUGGGGAAUAUUGGACAAUGGGGGGAACCCUGAUCUAGCCAUGCCGCGUGUGUGAAGAAGGCCUUUUGGUUGUAAAGCACUUUAAGCGAGGAGGAGGCUACUGGUAUUAAUACUACCGGAUAGUGGACGUUACUCGCAGAAUAAGCACCGGCUAACUCUGUGCCAGCCGCCGCUGUAACAC
rnacentral:rRNA from 1 species